GACGAACGCUGGCGGCGUGCCUAAUACAUGCAAGUAGAACGCACAGUAUAUACCGUAGCUUGCUACACCAUAGACUGUGAGUUGCGAACGGGUGAGUAACGCGUAGGUAACCUGCCUGGUAGCGGGGGAUAACUAUUGGAAACGAUAGCUAAUACCGCAUAAUAUUAAUUAUUGCAUGAUAAUUGAUUGAAAGAUGCAACUGCAUCACUGCCAGAUGGACCUGCGUUGUAUUAGCUAGUAGGUGAGGUAACGGCUCACCUAGGCGACGAUACAUAGCCGACCUGAGAGGGUGAUCGGCCACACUGGGACUGAGACACGGCCCAGACUCCUACGGGAGGCAGCAGUAGGGAAUCUUCGGCAAUGGACGAAAGUCUGACCGAGCAACGCCGCGUGAGUGAAGAAGGUUUUCAGAUCGUAAAGCUCUGUUGUCAGAGAAGAACGGGUGUGAGAGUGGAAAGUUCACACUGUGACGGUAUCUUACCAGAAAGGGACGGCUAACUACGUGCCAGCAGCCGCGGUAAUACGUACUAUGGCAAGCGUUGUCCGGAUUUAUUGGGCGUGAUGCGAUCGCAGGCGGUUCUUUAUUUCUGAUGUGAAAGCCCCCUAUGCACCCGGGAGGGUCGUUUCAAAACUGGAGAACCCGAGUGCAGAAGAGGAGAGUGCAUUCCACUCGUACCUCGAAAUGCGAAAAUAUGUGGGAAACACUGUGGCGAAU
rnacentral:rRNA from 1 species